CCUACGGGAGGCAGCAGUGAGGAAUAUUGGUCAAUGGGCGAGAGCCUGAACCAGCCAAGCAGCGUGAGGGAUGACUGCCCUAGGGGUUGUAAACUUCUUUUAUCAGGGAAUAAAAUUGGGCACGUGUCCCUUUUUGCGUGUACUUUAUGAAAAAGGAUCGGCUAACUCCGUGCCAGCAGCCGCGGUAAUACGGGGGGUGCGAGCGUUAUACGGAUUUGUUGGUUUUAAGGGGAGGGUGGUGGGUUGGUUACGUCGUUGGUAAAGUUUGGGGGUUAAACGUAAAAGUGCAAUUUAUACUGGCAGACUUGAGUAAGGUAGAGGUAGGCGGAAUUCGAGGUGUAGCGGUGAAAUGCGUAGAUAUCGCGAAGAACUCCGAUGGCGAAGGCAGCGUAC
rnacentral:rRNA from 1 species